GAUGAACGCUGGCGGCGUGCUUAACACAUGCAAGUCGAACGGAAAGGCCCAAGCUUGCUUGGGUACUCGAGUGGCGAACGGGUGAGUAAGACGUGGGUGAUCUGCCCUGCACUUCGGGAUAAGCCUGGGAAACUGGGUCUAAUACCGGAUAGGACCACAUUUUGGAUGGUGUGGUGGAAAGUUUUUCGGUGUGGGAUGAGCUCGCGGCCUAUCAGCUUGUUGGUGGGGUAAUGGCCUACCUAGGCGUCGACGGGUAGCCGGCCUGAGAGGGUGUACGGCCACAUUGGGACUGAGAUACGGCCCAGACUCCUACGGGAGGCAGCAGUGGGGAAUAUUGCACAAUGGGCGCAAGCCUGAUGCAGCGACGCCGCGUGGGGGAUGACGGCCUUCGGGUUGUAAACUCCUUUCGCUAGGGACGAAGCGUUAUGUGACGGUACCUGGAGAAGAAGCACCGGCUAACUACGUG
rnacentral:rRNA from 1 species